CUGGGUUUGACAUGGAUCGGGAGUGCUCAGAGAUGGGUGUGCCUCUUUUGGGGUCGGUUCACAGGUGGUGCAUGGCUGUCGUCAGCUCGUGUCGUGAGAUGUUGGGUUAAGUCCCGCAACGAGCGCAACCCUUGUUCACUGUUGCCAGCACGUUAUGGUGGGGACUCAGUGGAGACCGCCGGGGUCAACUCGGAGGAAGGUGGGGAUGACGUCAAGUCAUCAUGCCCCUUAUGUCCAGGGCUUCACACAUGCUACAAUGGUCGGUACAACGCGCAGCGACACUGUGAGGUGGAGCGAAUCGCUGAAAGCCGGCCUUAGUUCGGAUUGGGGUCUGCAACUCGACCCCAUGAAGUCGGAGUCGCUAGUAAUCGCAGAUCAGCAAUGCUGCGGUGAAUACGUUCCCGGG
rnacentral:rRNA from 1 species